rfam:Janibacter indicus strain YFY001, complete genome.
UGCGUAUUUGCUCAGGCGGAGCUCGACCGCCGCUGACCGAUGUCGAUGCCUUCAUCGACGACCACCGUGAUGAGCAUGGGGUCGAGCCGACCUGCACCGUCCUGGCCGAGGCCGGGAUCCAGGUCGCCCCG